AGCAGUCGCCGCGGGAAUACGUAGGGUGCAAGCGUUAAUCGGAAUUACUGGGCGUAAAGCGUGCGCAGGCGGUUAUAUAAGACAGAUGUGAAAUCCCCGGGCUCAACCUGGGAACUGCAUUUGUGACUGUAUAGCUAGAGUACGGCAGAGGGGGAUGUAAUUCCGCGUGUAGCAGUGAAAUGCGUAGAUAUGCGGAGGAACACCGAUGGCGAAGGCAAUCCCCUGGGCCUGUACUGACGCUCAUGCACGAAAGCGUGGGGAGCAAACAGGAUUAGAUACCCCUGUAGUCCCUGUCUCUUAUAA
rnacentral:rRNA from 1 species